rnacentral:rRNA from 1 species
GCAGCCCGAGUGGUGAUCACUAUUAUUGGGUCUAAAGGGUCCGUAGCCGGUUUAAUCAGUCUUCUGGGAAAUCUAAUCGCUUAACUAUUAGGCUUCCAGGGGAUACUGUUAGACUUGGGACCGGGAGAGGUAAGAGGUACUGCAGGGGUAGGAGUGAAAUCUUGUAAUCCCUGUGAGACCACCAGUGGCGAAGGCGUCUUACCAGAACGGGUCCGACGGUGAGGGACGAAAGCUGGGGGCACGAACCGGAUUAGAUACCCGGGUAGUCCCAGCUGUAAACGAUGCUCGUUAGGUGUCAGGAACGGUGCGACUGUUUCUGGUGCCGGAGGGAAGCCGUGAAACGAGCCACCUGGGAAGUACGGCCGCAAGGCUGAAACUUAAAGGAAUUGGCGGGGGAGCACUACAACGGGUGGAGCCUGCGGUUUAAUUGGACUCAACGCCGGAAAACUCACCGGGGGCGACAGCAAUAUGUAGGUCAGGUUAAAGGUCUUACCUGAAUCGCUGAGAGGAGGUGCAUGGCCGUCGUCAGUUCGUACUGUGAAGCAUCCUGUUAAGUCAGGCAACGAGCAAGACCCGUGCCCACUGUUACCAGCAUAUCCUUUAUGGAUGAUGGGGACUCUGUGGGGACCGCUGCUGCUAAAGCAGAGGAAGGUGCGGGCUACGGUAGGUCAGUAUGCCCCGAAUCUCCCGGGCUACACGCGGGCUACAAUGGUUGGGACAAUGGGUAUCUACUCCGAAAGGAGUUGGCAAUCUCUUAAACCCAAUCGUAGUUCGAAUUGAGGGCUGUAACUCGCCCUCAUGAAGCUGGAAUCCGUAGUAAUCGCGUUUCAACAUAGCGCGGUGAAU